rnacentral:tRNA from 1 species
UCGGGUAGCUCAAUUGGCAGAGCAACGGCUUGUGGAGCCGGAGGUUGGCGGAUCGUGGCCGCCCCCGAGUACGCCA